UGCCAGCAGCCGCGGUAAUACGGAGGGUGCAAGCGUUGUUCGGAAUUAUUGGGCGUAAAGGGGAGGCAGGUGGUCUCGUAUGUCUGAGGUGAAAUCCCUGAGCUUAACUCAGGACGUGCCUUGGAAAUGGCGAGACUAGAGUCCCGGAGAGGGUCGUGGAAUUCCCGGUGUAGCGGUGAAAUGCGUAGAGAUCGGGAGGAACACCAGAGGCGAAGGCGGCGGCCUGGACGGGAACUGACACUGAACUCCGAAAGCGUGGGGAGCAAACAGGAUUAGAUA
rnacentral:rRNA from 1 species